rnacentral:rRNA from 1 species
UUAUAAGAGACAGCAGUAGCCACGGGAAUACGGAGGGUGCAAGCGUUAUCCGGAUUUAUUGGGUUUAAAGGGUCCGUAGGCGGAUCUGUAAGUCAGUGGUGAAAGCCCAUCGCUCAACGGUGGAACGGCCAUUGAUACUGCAGGACUUGAAUUAUUGGGAAGUAACUAGAAUAUGUAGUGUAGCGGUGAAAUGCUUAGAGAUUACAUGGAAUACCAAUUGCGAAGGCAGGUUACUACCAAUUGAUUGACGCUGAUGGACGAAAGCGUGGGUAGCGAACAGGAUUAGAUACCCCCGUAGUCCCUGUCUCUUAUAC